rnacentral:rRNA from 1 species
UACGUAGGGGGCUAGCGUUGUCCGGAAUCAUUGGGCGUAAAGCGCGUGUAGGCGGUCCGGUAAGUCCGCUGUGAAAGUCGAGGGCUCAACCCUCGAAUGCCGGUGGAUACUGUCGGGCUAGAAUACGGAAGAGGCGAGUGGAAUUCCUGGUGUAGCGGUGAAAUGCGCAGAUAUCAGGAGGAACACCAAUUGCGAAGGCAGCUCGCUGGGACGUUACUGACGCUGAGACGCGAAAGCGUGGGGAGCAAACAGG